AUUGAACGCUGGCGGCAUGCUUUACACAUGCAAGUCGAACGGUAACAGGGUGCUUGCACCGCUGACGAGUGGCGAACGGGUGAGUAAUGCGUCGGAACGUGCCGAGUAGUGGGGGAUAACGCAGCGAAAGUUGUGCUAAUACCGCAUACGUACUGAGGUAGAAAGUGGGGGACCUUCGGGCCUCACGCUAUUCGAGCGGCCGACGUCGGAUUAGCUAGUAGGUGAGGUAAAGGCUCACCUAGGCGACGAUCAGUAGCGGGGCUGAGAGGAUGAUCCGCCACACUGGGACUGAGACACGGCCCAGACUCCUACGGGAGGCAGCAGUGGGGAAUUUUGGACAAUGGGCGAAAGCCUGAUCCAGCCAUGCCGCGUGUCUGAAGAAGGCCUUCGGGUUGUAAAGGACUUUUGUCAGGGAGGAAAUCCCUAGUGCUAAUAACACUGGGGGAUGACAGUACCUGAAGAAUAAGCACCGGCUAACUACGUGCCAGCCGCCGCCGUAA
rnacentral:rRNA from 1 species